GAUGAACGCUGGCGGCGUGCCUAAUACAUGCAAGUCGAACGCUUCACUUCGGUGAAGAGUGGCGAACGGGUGAGUAAUACAUAAGUAACCUGGCAUCUACAGGGGGAUAACUGAUGGAAACGUCAGCUAAGACCGCAUAGGUGUAGAGAUCGCAUGAACUCUAUAUGAAAAGUGCUACGGGACUGGUAGAUGAUGGACUUAUGGCGCAUUAGCUUGUUGGUAGGGUAACGGCCUACCAAGGCGACGAUGCGUAGCCGACCUGAGAGGGUGACCGGCCACACUGGGACUGAGACACGGCCCAGACUCCUACGGGAGGCAGCAGUAGGGAAUUUUCGGCAAUGGGGGAAACCCUGACCGAGCAACGCCGCGUGAAGGAAGAAGUAAUUCGUUAUGUAAACUUCUGUCAUAGAGGAAGAACGGUGGAUAUAGGGAAUGAUAUCCAAGUGAC
rnacentral:rRNA from 1 species